rnacentral:siRNA from 1 species
GGUGACACAUAUAAUGAUCCGC